rnacentral:rRNA from 1 species
UACAGAGGGGGCAAGCGUUAUUCGGAAUUAUUGGGCGUAAAGGGCGCGUAGGCGGCAUGGCAAGUGGAAGGUGAAAUCCCUCGGCUUAACCGAGGAACUGCCUGUCAGACUGGAAGGCUUGAGACCGGGAGAGGUGAGUGGAAUUCCCAGUGUAGCGGUGAAAUGCGUAGAUAUUGGGAGGAACACCAGUGGCGAAGGCGGCUCACUGGACCGGAACUGACGCUGAGGCGCGAAAGCGUGGGGAGCAAACAGG